rnacentral:tRNA from 1 species
GCCCAUGUUAGCUCAGUCGGUAGAGCGCAAGGCUCUUAACCUGGGUCGUGGGUUCGAGCCCCACAGCCCAGGGCC